GAAUGUGAUAUUCGGAUUGAACAGUACAUUGGGUACUGUUGUUGAAGUGACUGCGAGACACUGUGUACUUUCGUUCAUCAAUUAUAAAGACUGUUUCUGACUGCUGUAUAUAGGACAGACAAGCAGAAACUUUAAUACUAGAUACGCAGAAGACAGAAGAUCUUUAAAAAGUAACAGUUAUCAUUCUCCAUUUUCUGAACAUCAUAUGGACGUGAAAAACAGUCCAUCAGACAUCAUCACCAACUUGAAAAUUCUGAAGUGCAGCAACAGACCUGCUCAAAAACUAAAAGGAAAACAGAUAACAAUGAAUACACAGCUCUCUAAAUUGGAGCUCUGUUCUCUGCCCUCAAACCCAUAAACACACACAACUAAAUAAUUGCUGGACAAAACCCACAAACAUUCAGCUAUUUACACACACACACACACACACACACACACACACACACACACACACACACAAAGAAAAUGCAAGUGGAAUACACUGCAACCGCAAACACCUAAUCUUUCACAUAGAAUAAAUUAAUGCUAGGCCUAACCGCAAAAUUCCCAGUCAUAAAAUUUUGAGAUGAAUAUCUUUCCUACAUUAAGUUAUACAUGGUUGCAGAUUAUAGACUGUGAAAAGAAAACAACUGUGAUGUGAAACACACACCCACACACACAAAAAACACAGUAUGUGGUAACAAUGUAUAUAUACAAAACUUUGUCAGCUUUUCACAUUUGUACAUACUGUUUUAAAACUCAAAUUUAUAAGUAAAAAUCAUUUUUCUCAUUAAGCAGAAAGAAAAUGAAAGCUCACUAAUGACGAUGAAUCUUCAGUAAAACGUGUCUGGGUAAUUUUUUUAAAAAUAGAAAAACUUGUGUUUUGCUCAAGGAAGACCUUCCCCAAGAACAAUUUAAUUUGUAAGCAAACAUGGACAGAAAUGUGUAAGCCUCAAGUGAAUAAUAAAUAUAAUUUCUAAUGUUUA